rnacentral:lncRNA from 1 species
GGUGUUGUUGUUCACAUAUUAAAAUACCAAGACUUCUCACUCUUACCAAUUAGAACUCCCUCCCGUCACUCUUCCACCCCAAAUUUAUUAAACCAUAUUUUAUGCAAUUUCUCUCUCUCCCUCCCACCAACUUAGAGCGAAUUAUCGGCGGUGUAUCGGCAGAUUGUUGUCAAGUUUCUCUUCUCUCCUCUCUUAUUCUUUCAUUCCCACUUCUCGCCAAGGCCCUCGAUUGGCCUGUGAGACGGUGGCGUUGAUUGCGAAGAAACUACCAAGCUUCUGUUGCCCGAUGAAGUCUGUUGGCAAGGAGUUCUUCCUCCCCCGUUGUGCUUUUAUGAUGUCAACUCCCAUCUCCAAACAAGGUUUAGCCAGGUCCUCUCUAUUUCUCUAUGUUUUGAUUACUUAUUCAUGUGGAUCUAAGGUUUCACUGUUGGUUCGCAUUUUCUCUGUCAAUAUAGUUGGUGGAUCUUUCGUUAACUUGCUUUUUUCUUCUUCAAAGAUUGUAUAUAUUUUCUGCUAGAAGGAAUGGUUUCAUUUGUGGUUAAAAAUUAGCUGACAAGCAAGAGAUAUGUAUAGAAUAAGAGGUUUUUUGGUCAUUACUACUAUAUGAUCUAAUGGAACUGUGAAAUUCACUUGUAUUGGUCGAAGGAUUGGAUUGUUCUUAUAGAAUUGACUAUAGUACAUGUGAAGUGAUAUUAUUCUGUUUUUCUUCCUAGGUGAUAAGAGAAUGACAUUUUUUAUAGAAAGAAAGAUGUGCUUGCCGCUUCUUCCUUUUUCCCCGGCUUCGCAAAUUAAUAAGGAUUUUGUUUCAAUUUUAAUUCCACUCAUAUUUUCUUGUGCUUUUACCGUUCCUUGCGUGGUUUUGGUACUUAGAAUUUGCACGAUUAGUUCUUAACUUUUUUUUUUCUAGUACUCUACUAUGAGAUACUGAAAGCUGAAGUGAGAAAUUGUCCUUUUAUGUUUGUCCAUAAGAUAUUUGAUAUUUAUUUUAAGUAAACCUCACCGACAUCUCUUGCUCAUGGAUGGUAGGUGAGAGCUGAAGAGCUUGAAUUAUCAUCGGCUAUUUGGAUAUGUCAACCUAAAAAAAAUAAGCAUUAACAAAAAAGAAAAAUAUUGACAAUGUGGAGUUGGAUAUGCGCAACACGCAAAUAGGUAUGCUGAUAAUGUAGCUACUUUAUGCUUUAGUUUGGUGUGCCGGAACGUGCUACGUUAUCUUGUGCACCGAGGAGGCUUAUUCUCUGACUUAUGACUUGAUGAUGUUAUUAUUGUAUUCUUUUGAGAAGUAUGAACUGUUCACGUAAUUAGCGAGUAUCAUUAAUAAUUCUUGCUUCUAUUACCUCGCCGAGGUUAGUUAAUACUUGGUAAGUACAUGGGGUCAGUUAUAUUAAUGCUACACUCUGCACUUAAUUUUGCAGAUCCAAGUGUUGGACCGACUCGUGGCUAGCUGUGAGUUGUUGUUGUAAGCAUCUUCCAAGGACGAGGUAGAGUUGCAUCUCGAUCGCAGCCUUUGGGUGUUUCUUGUCAUUUUAGUACUAUUCUUUACUUUCAUACAAUAUUUCAUUUUGUGUUCCAGAUGUGUACUUCAAUUUAGAGCUCAUGGCUCUAUAUUUAUCAGUUAUGGGGGAGGGUACUUAUCGAUGCAGUUCAUUUAUUUUGUUGGCUUUAGACUUAUGCUAUUUCCACUAUUUCUAUUAUUAUAUUCCGCUUGUGUUAUGUUGACCUGCCUAGCAAGUGAGUUAGGCAUCAUCAGUCCCACCAACUCAUCAUGAUCAGGGGGAUAUACUCAUCGUCUGGAGCUACUGGUGGCUCCCUACUUGCUGCUCUAGCAUGAUCUCUAGCUGUGGUACGUGCUCCUCUGCCUCUGCCCCGGCUUUCAUUGAACCGGCCUUGGGGGCAACACCAUCAGUCACUGUAGCACGUGUUCUCACCAUCUGUGAGAGAAUAGAAAAACAAAAUUCAAACUCCAAUAUAAAUAAAUCAGCACGAUAGAGAAUGAAAGAAAGCAAAAAUUUUCCUAACGGUUUGGUAGCCUCUCGAAAAUAAAUACAGACGUCUCUGUACUGAACCGCAAGACUCUACUAAACUUUCUCAUGACCCGUACAACCUAUGAAAAUAGGGUUCUGAUAUCAACUUGUCACGACCCAAAAACUACAAACCAGUCGUAAUGGUGCCUAACUCACUUUCUAGGCAACCCGAACAAAACAAAAUAGAACAAGAUAACAGAAUUAACGUAAAUAAUAUAAAUUCGAAGUCAAUGGACAUAAAUGACUACGUCAAUACAUAAAUCCCCCAGAACUAGUAAUACAGAGUCACGAGCUCUACAAUAGAAGUACAAGUCUUUAAAUACAAAUUAAAAUAUUGUAUGGAUAAUUAUAACAACUGAAAUGGAAUGAGAUGCCAAAGUCUGCAGUCAAAAUGCAGCUCUACCUCGUCUCUCGGCUACUCACAACAAAAAUCACAAUGACUUUCGGCUCGGUCCAAUACCUGCAUCUGCACAAUUAAGUGUAGAGUGUAGUAUGAGUAUAACUGACCCCAUGUAUUGAGCAAGUAUCAUAACUAACAUCGAUGAGAUAAUAGAGGCAAGAUUUAUUAAUGAUACUCGCUAAUAACAUGCUCAGUUCUUGAAUUUCACAAGUACACAACAAUAAUAUCAGCAAGGCAUAAAUCACAAAUGAGGUCAUCUCGGUGCCCAAAAGAUAAUGUGCCAUGUAUCAGUUAACAACCCAUCAUAUAGAGAAGAUAUGCGUAUAUGAUCAAGUCUCGUAUGCACAAGUAAACAAAUAGAGAAGAGAUGUACCGUUCUCCCACUAAUAAAACUAAACAGCAUAUAGAGAAUAUAUGCGAAUAAAUCAUGUAUACACCCAAGAAAAUUGCAAACUAAUAAGAGAUGCAAUAAAUCAUGUAUACAUCCAAGCAAAUUGCAAAUAGAGAAGAGAUGCAAUAACCAAAACAAAUGCUAAUAGGUUUUUCUCAUACCACGUGUACACCAUCAAGAAAGAAACAUGAGAGGGUGACCCUAGGGGGAUGGAUCCUUAUCCAUACGCUGUACGAAUAAUUCAUGUGCCAUAUAGAUAACCACCACAUGUGCUAACACAACUCAUAUCCGCACGGACUGCUCAUGUGCUAUGAAGCCAGUCCAUACCACACAGAAAGCAUAUAGAAGAAUACAUGUAUAUGAACAAUGGAUAUAAAGUUACAUACUCAAGGGCUAAUAUAAGUGACAUGCUAAGGUGUAGGCAUGUGUGAAGUGUACUUCCAUAGUUCAGACCAAGCGAUUACUCCACAAGAAUAGAAAGUAACAUUUUGAACAGGAUAUCAACCAACAGAUAAUCUCUAACAUGAUUCAAAUAGCUGAAAAAGGGGGUACAUCAUAAGAAGUAUGAUAACAUGAAGCUUAGCAAUCAAUUGAAGGCAUAUAGUAGCCUAAUCACUACCCCGAGCAUGGAUAAUACUCUGGUACACACACAUGGGCUCAAUCCCCUCACAUGUGCGCCACCCAUAAAGCAUAGCCAACACUAAUAACACAGGCAACUAGUGCCUCAACCAUGUUUAAGUAAUAUACUUACAUCAAGCAAUCCAAAUCAAUACUCUAGAAAUGCUUUCAUGUGUGAAUCAACCUCCAAACGGCUCGAAUCUAGCCAAAAACAACUCAAUGUUAUGAAAUAAGUCCGUAGGAAAUAAUUCCAAACAAUAAAGAUACGCUCUUAAAUAAAUAUACAAAUUCAACCUCGGGCCCGCACCCCGAAACCUGGAAAAACUCAAAAAUAUUAAACACUCAUUCCAAUACGAGUCCAACCAUACCAGUUUCAUCCAAAUUUGACUCUAAUCGGGAUUCAAAUCUUGAAUUUUCACUUAGAUAAGGUUUUACCAAAAUAUCCAAUUUUCCCUCUUAGAAUCACCAAUCAAAAGCCAAAAUUAAGUAGGGAAUCAUGAAUAAUAAUAAAAUCCGAGUCAAAAAUACUUACCCCAAUCCAAAUCGUGAAAAUCGCCUCAAACAUCGCCCAAAUCCGAACUCCAAAUCGCAUAAUAUAAUAAAAUGAGUAAAGGUCAACCUAAUUGUACACUCAGUGAUCGCGAAGUACAAAAUCUGAUGCCUUCCAAAAGACCAUAUGCUAAUGCGGCCCCAGGACUGUGAUCACAUUUCACCAGCAGCCAAGCCUACGUGAACGUGGGUCCCUUCCACGAACACGAAGGCAAAAUCAACUUGCCUACCCCAUCUGACUCACACGCUAUGCGAACGCAACCCCCUCUACGCGAACGCACCGCUACAGCUCCUAAAGGAUCGCAAUCGCGAAGAGAAAGCUCCACCUUCCACCCAAACACAGUAAACGAUCGCGUGAGACCUUCUGCGAUCGCGAUGAAGACACCAGCAUCAGAAAACCAACAAUUCCAAACAUGAGAGAAAUGGUCUGAAACCCAUCUGAAACACACCCGAGGCCAUUGGGACCUCGUCCAACCACACCAGCUAAUCUCAAAACAUAAUACUGACCUACUCGAGGCCUUAACUACACAAAAUAGCAUCAAAACCACAAACCGUCGAUCAAGAUCAAACUCUUAAGUUCAUAAACUUCAAAUCAGCUCCCGAUCAAACGUAUGAACCUUCUAAACCUUUAAAUUGCCAACUUACGCCAAAAAGAAUCAAAUCGACUUAGGAACUUCCAAAUCCAAAUUCAGACAUACGUCUAAGUCCAAAAUCACCAUGCAAACCUAUUGGAAAGCUCAAAAUACAAAUCCGAGACCAUCUACAUAAAAUUCAAACAUCGGUCAAUUCUUAUAACUUAAGCCUCCAAUAAUGAAAUCAAGUGUUCUAACUCCCUCCAAAACGUUCCCCAAACCAAACCAACCAACCCCGCAAAUUACGAAACAUAAAAUGAACAUAGAGAAGGUAAUAAAUAGGAGAAUGGGGCUCAAAUACCCAAAACGACCGAUCGGGUCGUUACAACACUUCAGCAGUUGUGUUGUCAUCAUUCUUCUGGCCACUACUUUUGCCUCGACUUUACUUUGGGAAAAUAUUUUUUAAAGUGAUCGAGUUGACCGUAACUGUAGUACUUUUUACAUUUUGACCGAUUUCUGGACUUUCUAUGACCUUUCGAUUUAUCACGGGUACUCGAAGCUUUAUGAAGACUUCUUCCAUUGUUUUCCAUGAUAAGAGCACAUCCCUGGUUUUUAGGAUUCUUCCUUAUCUUAUCAUUGAGUAGGAUGGUUGAUGCGACCUCCUUUAAUUCGAUGGUAUCUCUACCAUGUAAGAUGGUUGUUGCCAAGUUAUCAUAGGAAGAUGCCAACUUAUAGAGAAGGUAUUCAAAACAAGGAAUGUAUACAUUCCUGCUCUAGCAUAUAAAUAAGAUAUGCAAUUAAAAAUUGUAUACAACCAUGGAAAUGGCAAGUAUAGAAGAAAUGCAAUAACCAAAUCAAACACUAACCAGUUUUUCUCAUACCGCGUGUACACCAUCAAGAGAGAAACAUGAGAGGAUGACCCUAGGAGGGUGGAUCUUUAUCCCCACACUGCAUAGAAAACUCACGUGCUAUAAUAUCAACCGCACGACGAAUUCACUUGUUAAUAAUCACAACCGCAUGGCAUAAUCACGUGCCAAUAAUCAAAACCGCACGACAUAUUCAUGUUCCAAUAAUCACAACCGCAUGGCGUAUUCACAUGCCAAUAAUCACAAUCGCAUGACGUAUUUAGGUUCCAAUAAUCACAAUCGCAUGGACAAUUCACAUGCCACCAGUCCAAUCCAUAUCACACAGAAGGAAGAUAUACAAGAUUACUUGUACAUAAACAAUGGAUAUCGAUUUUCAUACUCCUGGACUGGUAUAAGUGACAUGCUAAAGUGUAUGUAUGUGCAAAGUGUGCUAUCGUAGCUCAAACCAGGUAAUUACAUCACAGAAGUAACAAUUAUCGAGUUCAAUCAGGAGACUAACCUCUAUGUAACCUCAAACAUGGUUCAAAUAGCUCACAAAGGGGGUACACAUACAAGAUACAUCACAAAAUGAAGCUUAGUAAUCGAUUAAAGGCAUAUCAUAGCCUAAGCACUAGCCCGAGCAUGAAUCCCCGGUGCACACACGCGGGCUCACCCCCACACAUGUGCGCUACCCAUAACACGUAGCUAUCACAAAUAACUCAGACAACUAAUGCCUCAAACCAAGUUUAGGCAAGACACUUACCUCAAGCAAGAAAAAUCAAUACUCUAGGAACGCCUUGCCAUGCGUAUCAACCUCCAGACGACUGGAAUCUUGCCAAAAAUAACCCACUAUUAUCAAAUAAGUCUAUUGGAAACCAUUCCAAACAACAAAGAUGCAAUAUCUAACAAAUAAGCAAAGUCAAUCCAAAAUGUCAACCCGGACCCGCACCUAGGAACCCAUCAAAAGUCACAAAUCCUAAACAUACAUUCCACUACGAGUCCAACCAUACAUGUUUCAUAUAAAUCCAGCUUCAAAUUUCGAAUUAUCACUUAAGAAAGUUUUUAGUAAAAUCCCCAAUUUUUCUCCCAUAGAUUCAUCAAUCAAAACCCAAAAACAAUGAUGGAAUCAUGAAUAAUAACCAAAUCCGAGUAGAAAAUACUUACCCCAAUCCAAAUCGUGAAAAUCGCCUCUAAAAUUGCCUAAAUCCGAGCUCCCGAUCUCAAAAUAUGAUAAAUUGGCCAAACCCUCGAAAAAAUAUAGCCUGCCCAACAAUUCUUGCAUUUGCGGCCCCUGGCUCCUCUAGCCCAGCUCCGCUUCUGCGGCUCCAAGCCCGCUUCUGCGGACUCGCAUCAAUAACCAAAAUCCUGCAGAUGGAAAAACACUAGAACUCAGCAAUCUUCAGAAAUGCCAACUUAAUCCAAAAUGAUCCGAAAUCAACCCGAAUCACACCUGAGGCGCCAGGGACUCCGACCAAUCAUACCAACUAAUCCUAAAAUAUAACAAGGACCUACUUGAGGCCUCAAAUCAAACAAAAUAACAUCAAAACCACGAAUUGCACGUCAAUUCAAGACUAAGGAACUAAUGAACUUCCAACUUCCUAAACUCAUGUCGAACCUCAUCAAAUCAACUCGGAAUGACAUCAAAUUUUGCAUACAAGUCCCAAAUGACAAACGAAUCUAUUCCAACUCCCAAAAUCACAAUCCGACUUCGAUAUCUUCAAAGUCAACUCCAAAUCAAAUCUAUAAACCUUUUAAACCUUCAAAUUCCUAACUUUUGCCAAAAUGAGCCAAAAUCACCUAGGAACCUCCAAAUCUAAAUCUGGACAUAUUCAUAAGUCCAAAAUCACUAUAUGAACCUAUAAGAACCAUCGAAAUACCAUUCCGAGGUUGUUUACACAAAAAUCAAACCUCGAUCAACUCUUAAAACUUAAGCUUCCAAGAAUGAAACAAGUGUACCAACUCCCUCCAAAACCUUCCCGGAAACAAACCAACCAACCCCGCAAGUCACAAAAUAUUAAAUGAACACAGACAAGAUAAAUAACAGGGGAUCAGGGCUCAAAUACUCCAAACAACCGACUGUGUCAUUAUAUUCUCCCCCUCUUGAACAAACGUUCAUCCUCGAACGAGUAUAGAAACAUACUUGAUGUAACAAACAGUUAUGGAUAUUUUCUCCUCAUGUCGGACUCGACCUCCCAGGUUGGAUCCUCAACCCUUUGCCCUAUCCACUAGACCUUCACCGAAGCUAUCACCUUGGACCUCAACUGUCGAACCUACCGAUCUAGAAUCGCUACUGGCUCAACCUCAUAACUUAGGUCCUCAUCCAACUAAACUGAACUGAAGUCUAACACAUAGGAAUUAUCUGCAUGAUAACGCUGAAGCAUAGAUACAUAAAUCACCGGAUGAACUGAUGACAACCUCGGUGGCAAUGCAUGUCUAUAUGCCACUUACCGACUCUCUCAUUAAUCUCAAAAUGGACCAAUAAACCACGGGCUCAACUUGACCCACUUGCCGAACAUCAUCACACCUUUCAUAGGUGAUAUAUUUAGCAGAACCUUCUCACCCACCAUAAAAUCAAGAUCACGAACCAUCCGAUCCGCAUAACUCUUUUGCCUGCUCUGAGCUAUGCGAAGGCUCUCCUGAAUCAACUAAACUCUCUCCAGAGCAUCACGAACCAAGUAAGUGCCACACAACCUAGCCUCCCCAAGCUCAGACCAAUCGAUUGGAGAACGACAUCACCUACCAUAUAAGGCCUCAUACAGCGCCAUCUAAAUACUCGACUGGUAGUUGUUGUUGUAGGCGAACUCUGCUAAUGGUAGAAUUUGGUCCCACUGACCUCCGAAAUCAAUAGUAUAUGCCCUUAACAUAUCCUCUAAAAUCUGAAUGGUGCGCUCGGACUGCCCGUCUGUCCGAGGAUGAAAUUAUGUACUCAACUCAACCUGGGCACCCAACGCAUGCUGCACUGCUCUCCAGAAAUGUGAAGUAAACUGAGUGCCACUAUCCUAGAUAAGAGAAACAGGUACACCAUGUAGACGAACAAUCACCCAGAUGUAGAUCUAAGCCAACCUCUCUAAAGUGUAAGAAGUCAUAACUGGAAUGAAAUGCGGCGAUUUGGUCAACCGAUCCUGUCACGACCCGAAAUUUUCCACCGACGGGACCGUGAUGGCGCCUAACAUUUUACUUGCUAGGCAAGCCAACGUUAGAGAAUCAUUAAACAAAUUCCUUAUUCUCAUUCAGUAAUUAACAAUAAUUAACUAAGAUAAAAUAUAAUAAGUGCGAAAUAUCAUAAAACCAUAUUAAUUACUACCACCCGUAUCUGGAGUCACAAUUCACGAGCAUUCUAGAAUUUAUUAUAAGUAAUAGUCUGAAAGAAAUACAAUAGUCUGAAUGAAAGAAAAAGUAGAACAGAAAAGAUAGACAGGGACUUCAAGGUCUGUGAACGCCGACAGAUCUACCUUGAGUCUCCGAACAACGGACCAAUAGCAAAAUCUCAAUCAACCCGAGUAGAUAUCAAAAUCUGCACAGAAAGUGCAGAGUGCAGUAUCAGUACAACCGACCCCAUGUACUGGUAAGUGUCGAGCCUAAUCUCGAGAAGUAGUGACGAGGCCAAGGCAAGGCACCUACAAAUCAACCUGUACAAUUUAACAGUGUAUAUACAAAUAACAGAAAUGAAGAACUAGACAGGGAAUGUCGGGAGGGGAACAUACUGAGGGGAAUACUAGAUAAAGAACUACAAUAGAAUGAUCACCGGAGCAGCCAAUAUACCAUGAAUCAACAGGAAUAGUGAAUAUAGUAAGGAAAAAUGCACGACAUCACCCUUCGUGCUUUUACUCUCAAUCUCACCAUAAAAUUAAUAGAAACGGCACGGCAUCACCCUUCGUGCAUUAACUCUCAUAUCAUGGCACGACAUCACCCUUCAUGCUUUUACACUCACCAUAUGGCACAACAUCACCCUUCGUGCAUUAACACUCACAAUAUGGCACGACAUUACCCUUCGUCCAUUAACUCUCAUAUCAUGGCACGACAUCAACCUUCGUGCAUUAACUCUCAUAUCAUGGCACGACAUCACCCUUCAUGCAUUAACACCCUCCCUUACCAUAAUGCAAUAUAUAAAUAACAACAGGGAGAUAGAAUAACAAGUACAAACCUUACUUCAACAUUUGGUUCCACAAUAUAGAUCUCAACUUUUAAAUAAAUACUCGAUUACCAACAGAAAAUCCGUAAACAUGAUAAUGACGAUCAAUUUAACAACAAUAGUAAAAACAUGUAGCAAUUAGGCAUAGGAAGAGACAAUGUAAGAAAACGGAAGAAACAUGGAAAAAUAGGUAAANNNNNNNNNNNNNNNNNNNNNNNNNUUGGGGUUUGGAAUACGACCUCAAAUUAAGGCCCCGAGCCCGAAUAUAUAAAUGGUUUUGGAAUCCGACCUCAAAUUAAGGUAAAUCCCCAAAUUACCGAAAUUCCUAGUUUCUACCCUAACCCCUAAUUCUACCAUGAAAUCUCUAGAUUUUAGGUUGAUAAUUCGAGAAAUGUAAUGGGUAAUUGAAAGAAAAUGGUAUAGAAUCAGUUACCUAUACUUUGGGAAAGAAAAUGACUCCUGAAAAUCGCCUCUACCCGUUUGGUUCUUGAAAAAUGUUGAAGAAAUGGCUUAAACCCGUGUUUGAUUCUGUUUUAUGCACUGGGCGACAGUAUGUAUCGCGUUUGCGAGGCCACUGUCACAUUCGUGAAGGGUACUGUCUGCCAAGUCUUUGCGUUCGCGAGACCUUGCUCAUGUUCGGGAUGGUUACUCCCCCUGGCCUUCGCGUUCGCGAUGAAGGAACGACCAACCCUCCCCCAGAUCCCCAAGUACUUAGCGUUCGCGAUGAGCCGGUCGCGUUCACGUUCGCGAAAGGUAAAUCCCCCAUCACUUUGCGUUCGCGACCAGGCCUUCGCGUUCACGAAGAAGAAGUCUCAGCCUCACCAGUUUACUCUCUGCGUUCGCAAGAGGACCUUCGCGAACGCGAAUAAGGAUAUGCUAGACACCAGAAUCUACAGAAAACCAGAUUUAAUUUUUCAAGUCCAAAACAUCCCGUGGCCUAUCCGAAACUCACCUGAGCCCUCGGGGCUCCAAACCAAACAUGCACACAAGUCCAAAACCAUCAUAUAGACCUGCUCGCGCGAUCAAAUCGCCAAAAUAAGACAUAGAACUCCUAAUUUAUCACCAAAUCAAAUGAAAUUCUCAAGAACACUUUAAAAUUUCUAUUUUCUCAUUUGGGCGUCCGAAUCACGUCAAAUCAACUCUGUUUCUCACCAAAUUUCACAAACAAAUCUUAAAUAUCAUAAUGAACCUAUAUCGGGCUCCGGAACCAAAAUACGGACUCGAUACUAACAAUGCCAAAUAUCAAUCAUUUCUAAAAAACAAAUAAUUUUCAGACUUUUAGCUUUUUUCAAAAAUUCAUAACUCAAGCUAGGGACCUCCGAAUUCGAUUCUGGACAUACGCUCAGGUCCCAAAAUUCGAUACGGAUCCACCGGGACCGUCAAAAUACAAAUCCGGGCCUGUUUACCAAAAAUGUUGACCAAAGUCAUCUAAAAUUAACUUUUAAGGCAUAAAUUCUUAUUUUCAUCAAUUUUCAACAUAAAAGCUUUCCGAAAACAUGCCCGGACUGUGCACGCAAAUCGAUGAGGAUACAAGUGAGAUUUUUAAGGCUUAAGAGCGCACAUUCGAGUUUUAAAACAUAAGAUGAUAUUUUGGGUCAUCACAUUCUCCACCUCUAAAACAAUCGUUCGUCCUCUUUCCGAACCUCGUUACACCCUUCAUGGGUGAUACCCGAAGUAACACUCUCUCUCCGACCAUGAAUGCAACAUCACAAACUCUACGAUUGGCANNNNNNNNNNNNNNNNNNNNNNNNNNNNNNNNNNNNNNNNNNNNNNNNNNNNNNNNNNNNNNNNNNNNNNNNNNNNNNNNNNNNNNNNNNNNNNNNNNNNNNNNNNNNNNNNNNNNNNNNNNNNNNNNNNNNNNNNNNNNNNNNNNNNNNNNNNNNNNNNNNNNNNNNNNNNNNNNNNNNNNNNNNNNNNNNNNNNNNNNNNNNNNNNNNNNNNNNNNNNNNNNNNNNNNNNNNNNNNNNNNNNNNNNNNNNNNNNNNNNNNNNNNNNNNNNNNNNNNNNNNNNNNNNNNNNNNNNNNNNNNNNNNNNNNNNNNNNNNNNNNNNNNNNNNNNNNNNNNNNNNNNNNNNNNNNNNNNNNNNNNNNNNNNNNNNNNNNNNNNNNNNNNNNNNNNNNNNNNNNNNNNNNNNNNNNNNNNNNNNNNNNNNNNNNNNNNNNNNNNNNNNNNNNNNNNNNNNNNNNNNNNNNNNNNNNNNNNNNNNNNNNNNNNNNNNNNNNNNNNNNNNNNNNNNNNNNNNNNNNNNNNNNNNNNNNNNNNNNNNNNNNNNNNNNNNNNNNNNNNNNNNNNNNNNNNNNNNNNNNNNNNNNNNNNNNNNNNNNNNNNNNNNNNNNNNNNNNNNNNNNNNNNNNNNNNNNNNNNNNNNNNNNNNNNNNNNNNNNNNNNNNNNNNNNNNNNNNNNNNNNNNNNNNNNNNNNNNNNNNNNNNNNNNNNNNNNNNNNNNNNNNNNNNNNNNNNNNNNNAUCGAGCCUCUCCCCACUCGAACCACCCAACUGGCGACCGGCACCGCCUAUCAUAUAAUGCCUCAAAAGGAGCCAUCUGAAUGCUCGAUUGGUAGCUGUUGUUGUAGGCGAACUCUGCAAGGGGCAAGAACUGAUCCCACGAUCCUCCGAAGUCUAUAACACAAGCGCAGAGCAUAUCCUCCAAGAUCUGAAUAGUACGCUCGAACUGCCUGUCUAAAUGAAAGAAACAGUUAACAUAAAAGAUAGAAGAGGACUUCAAGGUCUGUGAACGCCGACAGAUCUACCUUGAGUCUCCGAACAACGGACCAAUAGCAAAAUCUCGAUCAACCCGAGUCGGUAUCAAAAUUUGCACAGAAAGUGCAGAGUGCAGUAUCAGUACAACCGACCCCAUGUACUGGUAAGUGUCGAGCCUAAUCUCGAGAAGUAGUGACGAGGCCAAGGCAAGGCACCUACAAAUCAACCUGUACAAUUUAACAGUGUAUAUACAAAUAAUAGAAAUGAAGAACUAGACAGGGAAUGUCGGGAGGGGAACAUACUGAGGGGAAUACAAGAUAAAGAACUACAAUAGAAUGAUCACCGGAGCAGCCAAUAUACCAUGAAUCAACAGGAAUAGUGAAUACAGUAAGGAAAAAUGCACGACAUCACCCUUCGUGCUUUUACUCUCAAUCUCACCAUAAAAUUAAUAGAAACGGCACGGCAUCACCCUUCGUGCAUUAACUCUCAUAUCAUGGCACGACAUCACCCUUCAUGCUUUUACACUCACUAUAUGGCACAACAUCACCCUUCAUGCUUUUACACUCACAAUAUGGCACGACAUUACCCUUCGUGCAUUAACACUCACAAUAUGGCACGACAUCACCCUUCGUAUAUUAACUCUCAUAUCAUGGCACGGAAUUACCCUUUGUGCAUUAACACUCUCCCUUACCAUAAUGAAAUGCAUAAAUAACAACAGGGAGAUUAAAUAAAAAGUACAAACCUUACUUCAAUAUUUGGUUCCACAAUAUAAAUCUCAACUUUUAAAUAAAUACUAUAUUACCAACAAAAAAUCCGUAAACAUGAUAAUGACGAUCAAUUUAACAACAUUAGUAUAAAUAUGUAGCAAUUAGGCAUAGGAAGAGACAAUAUAAGAAAACAGAAGAAACAUGGAAAAAUAGGUAAAUUGGCGACGCAUAAGUACUCGUCACCUCACAUAUACGCCGCUCACAUGAAUUUCACUUAGCAAAUAAUCUAAGGUUCCUAAUUCCCUCAAAUCAGGGUUAGACACAAUACUUACCUCGUUCCGAAGGCCACUUAAUUUUCAAUCACAGCUUUUCCUUUGGAAUUCCCCUCCAAACCACUUGUUUCUAUUCAAAAAUGACUCAAUAAUAUCAAAUAUUGCUCAAGGAAUCAAUUAUAUUGCAUAAAUUAAAUUUCCCAAAUUUUCCUCCAAAAAGUCGAAAAAUCGACCCCCUGAGCCCGAAUAUAUAAUUGGUUUUGGAAUCCGACCUCAAAUUGAGGUCUAAAUCCCCAAAUUUACGAAAUUCCUAGUUUCUACCCUAACCCCUAAUUCUACCAUGAAAACUCUUUAUUUUAGGUAGAUAAUUCAAGAAAUGUAAUGUGUAAUUGAAAGAAAAUGGUUUAGAAUCACUUACCAACACUUUGGGAAAGAAAAUGACUCCUGAAAAUCGCUUCAACCCGUUUGGUUCUUGAAAAAUGUUGAAGAAAUGGCUUAAACCCAUGUUUGAUUCUGUUUUAUGAAGUGAGAGACAGUGUGCAUCGCAUUUGCGAGGUCACUGUCGCGCUUGCAAAGGGUACUGGAUGCCAAGCCUUCGCGUUCGCGAGACCCUACUAGCGUUAGCGAUGGUUACUCCCCUGACCUUCGUUUUCGUGAGGCGUUGCUCGCGUUUGCAAUGAAGGAACGACCAACCCUCCCCUAGGUCCCCAAGUGCUUUGCAUUCGCGAUGAGCCGGUCGCGUUCGUGAAUGGUAAAUCCCCUAUCAUUUCGCUUUCAAGACCAGGCCUUCGCGUUCGCGUAGAAGAAGUCUCAGCCUCACCAGUUUACUCUUUGCAUUCGCGAGAGGACCUUCGCAAACGCGAAGAAGGAUAUGCAAGACACCAUAAUCUGAAGAAAACCAGAUUUUGUUUCCCAGUCCAAAACAUCCCAUGGCCUAUCCGAAACUCACCCGAGCCCUCGGGGCUCCAAAUCAAUCAUGCACACAAGUCUAAAAACAUCAUACGGACCUGCUCGCGCGAUCAAAUCACCAAAAUAACACCUAGAACUCCGAAUGUAGCACCAAAUCAAAUGAAAUUCUCAAGAACACUUUAAAAUUUCUAUUUUCUCAACUGGACGUCCGAAUCACGUCAAAUCAACUCCGUUUCUCACUAAAUUUCACAGACAAAUCUUAAAUAUCAUAAUGAACUUGUACCGGGCUCCGAAACCAAAAUACGGACCUGAUACUAAUAAUGCCAAACAUCAAUUAAUUCUUAAAAAUAAAUAAUUUUCAGACUUUUAAUAUUUUUCAAAAAUUUAUAACUCAAGCUAGGGACCUCCGAAUUCAAUUCCGGGCAUAUACCCAGGCCCCAUAAUUCGAUACGGACCCACCGGGACCAUCAAAAUACAGAUCCGGGCCUGUUUACAAAAAAUGUUGACCGAAGAAACUAAAAUCAACUUUUAAGGCAUAAAUUUUUAUUUUCAUCAAUUUUCAACAUAAAAGCUUUCUGAAAAUAUGCCCGGACUGCGCACGCAAAUCGAUAAGGGUAAAAGUGAUAUUUUUAAGGCUUAAGAGCGCAAAUUCGAGUUCUAAAACAUAAGAUGACCUUUUGGGUCAUCACAGAUCCAUAAUGACCCAAAUGACAUCAAACUUCCUUAAAGUCCGAGGCAAUUCCACUACGAAAUCCAUAGUAAUCCUCUCUCACUUCUACUUUGUAAUAGUCAACCUCUGAGUCAAUCCACCAGGAUUCUAGUGCUUGUACUUAGCCUGAUGGAAAUUCAAACAUCUAGAAACAUGGCCCAUAAUAUCUUUCAUCAUCCGCCGCCACCAAAAAUACUGCCUCAGAUCAUGGUACGUCUUUGCCACUCCUGGGUUAAUAGAAUAUCUAGAACUGUGAGCCUCCUCAAUAAUCAACUCUCUACCCAUCAACAUUCAGAACACAAAACUGACCCUACAACCUCAAUAGACCAUCAUCACCUAUGUCUACCUUUGUGGUGCCUCCCCACUGAACUGAAUUCAUCAAAAUGAGCAAAUAGGGAUCAUUAAACUUUCUAGCCUUAAUGCGCUCGAGUAAACAAGACUGUGCCAUCAUUGAAGUAAGAACCCUACUGGAAUCAGAAAUAUCCAAUCUCAUAAAUAUGUUGGCUAAAUCCUGAACAUCUAUGGCUAACGGCCUCUGCUCAACUUGAAUGAAAGUUAAGUGCCUAUACGCACUAUAUUUCUAGUCAAGGCAUCUACUAUUACAUUAGCCUUCCCCAGGUGGUACAAGAUAGUAAUAUCAUAAUCCUUCAGUAACUCUAACCUCCUCCACUGCCUCAAAUUUAAAUCCUUCUGUUUAAUCAAGUGCUGGAGACUGCGAUUAUCAGUAUACACUUCGCAAGAUAUGCCAUAUAGCCUUCAAUCUUCAAAGCAUGGACAAUGGCUACCAACUCUAAAUCAUGAACCAGAUAAUUCUUCUCAGGAACCUUCAACUGGCGUGAAGCAUAAGCAAUCACUCUACCAUCCUGCAUAAGCACACAUCCAAGAUUAAUGCGUGAAGCAUCACAACAUAUAAUGUAGGAUCCCGACUUUGUAGGUAAUACCAAAAUUGGAGUUAUAGUCAAUGUUGUCUUGAGCUUCUGAUAAAUCUCCCCACACUCCUCGGACCACCUGAAAAUAGCACCCUUCUAGGUUAACCUGCUCAAUAGGGCUGCUAUUGAUGAAAACCCCUCCACAAAACGACUAUGGUAACCUGCCAAACUAAGAAAAUCUAAAUCUUAGUCGUUGAAGUAGGUCUAGGCUAGCUCUGAACUACCUCAAUUGUUUUUGGAUCCACUGCAGAUCCUUUAACUAGACACCACGUGGCCCAAGAAUGCCACAGAUCCAACCAAAACUCACAGUUAGAGAAUUUAGCAUACAACUGUUUCUCCCUCAGAAUCUGAACCAUAAUCCUUAAAUGUUGCCCGUGUUCCUCCCUACACGGAGAAUAUAUCAAGAUAUCAUCAUUGAAUACAAUAAUAAAAGAAUCCAGGUAAGGCUGAAGCACUCUACUCAUCAAAUAUUGGGGGUAUUAGUCAACCCAAAAGACAUCACCAAAAAUUCAUAGUACCCAUACCGAGUACUGAAAGUCGUCUUAGGAAUAUUUGAAGCCCGAAUCAUCAACUAGUGAUACCCUGAUCUCAAGUCAAUUUUUAAGAACACUCUGGCACCCUGAAUUUUAUCAAACAAAUCAUCAAUACGAGGCAAGGGAUACAUAUUCUUGAUGGUAACCUUGUUCAACGGCCCGUAGUCAAUGCACAUCCUCAUAAAACUAUCCUUCUUCUUCCUAAACAAUAUUGGUGCACCCCAAGGUAACAUAUUAGGGCUGAUGAAGCCGUUAUCAAGCAACCCCUCCAAUUGCUCCUUCAAUUCCUUUAACCCAGUUGGAUCCAUACGAUACAGAGGAAUAGAAAUAGGUUGCAUUCCUGGUGCCAAAUAAAUGCCAAAUUCAAUAUUCCUAUCGUGUGGCAUGCUCGGUAGGCCUGUAGGAAAUACAUCUGGGAACUCUCUCACUAUAGGAACUGACUCGACAAUAGGAGUAUCAUCAAUAACAUCUUGAACAAAGGCCAAAUAUUCCAAAAGACACUUCUCAACCAUUCGUUGAGCCUUCAAGUAUAAAAUCACUCUGCUAGGAGUGUAACCAAGGAACCUCUCCACUCCAACCCCGGCAAACUCGGCAACCCCGACAUAGAUAAUCUCACAAUCUUAGCGUGACAAUCAAGAAUAACAUGAUGCGUACAUAACCAAUCUAUACCCAAGAUCACAUCAAAAUCUACCAUAUCUAACAUCAAAAACUCUGCCCUCAUCUCAAAACCAGAAAUAGUCACCACAUAGGAUCGAUAAAUUUGAUUCACCACAAUAGAGUCACCAACAAGUGUAGAUACAUGAACAGGAAUAUCAAGUGAAGCAAAUGGUAUAUACAAACAGGAAUAAAUAUGUGAAGGAAUAUAGUAAUAUGUAGAACCAGGAUCAAAUAGAACUAAUUCCUCUCAGUAACAAAUGGAAACAAUACCUAUGAUCAUUGCAUCUCAAGUGACUGCCUCUGGCCUACCCAAAAAUGCAUAGCAACGGGCUUGUCCUCCACCGGACCAACCUCCCCCUGUAGGGCGACAUCGAACAGACUGAGCCCCACCCCUAGAUGGUUGUGCGGGUGGUGUAGCUAGCUAUACUGAAACUAUAGAUUGCAUGCUCUACUCUGGGACUCUACUCAGAAGUUUGGGGCAAUCCUUUUUGACAUGACUCAAGUCUCCACACUUGAAGCAACCUUUUCUACGAGGAUGCUGACCCUAAUAACCCAAAUAACUGCAUGUUGAACCCUGAGCAGAUGGAGCAUGGUAAGAACUCUAUGUCGGCAGUGCCCUAAGUAAAGACUCAACUAGGCGAGCACUACAUUAAAUGUGGCUCACUGAUGAACCACAAGGAUUCUAACGAGCCAAACCCCAAUUUCUAUACUUCAAAUCCUUUAUCCAAAGGAAACAAAUGUUUAAAUCAAGUAGUGUAUUGUAGAUCUAUAGUAAGAUGAUGUGCCCAAACUAUUUUGAUGAAUUCUCCUUAAAACAUAUACCAAAUAGGAGUUGUGUAGCUCUCAAAAUAACCAAAUAAGAGAAAAUCACGAAUGGGGGUAGGGGUAGUACCAAAAGUCCAAGCAAUACAUAGCUGAAGGAACCGGCGUCGUGCGCCAGGGCAUCUUCGCCCUAUGCCUUGCCUCGCGCCAAGGCAAGGGCGUCUUAGGUCUCGCCUCUUUCCCUCCAGUCUACCGAAGGCCUCGCACCAUAGGCCGCCUCAUGCAAUUCUGUAGCCUAGUGCUGGUGCUGCUAGCCUACAUACAGUAGAUGAAAUACAGAAGACAUGGUAAAUUUACGUCUAACAACAAGAUAAUAGAAAGUAAAAUCAUUUCAAAAGUAAACAAGAUAAGUCUAAAACUAAUAACUACGUGAUCCAUCCCAAGAUGUGGUAUUACAAAGUACACAAGCUUCUAGAAUUUUCUAUAUACACCAUUCUGAAAGAAAAUACAACAUUGUUCGUGAAAGGAAAAAUGUACAACAGAAAUAGAAAAGUGACUAAGGCCUGCAAACAAGAUGCAGCUCUACCUUGAAUCACCGUUUUGUAUUGACUCGACCGGUUGUUUUGUAUAAUAUAUCCUUGUUCCCCUAUUUAUUUCUUUUUUAUGUUCAUUUAUGGUUAUGUGACUUUUCGGGGUGGUUGGAUUGGUUUCAGGAAGGUGUUGGAGUGAAUUGGGACACUUAGUCCCAAGUUUGGAAGCCUAAGUUGAAAGAGUUGACCGGAGUUUGACUUUUCUAUAGACAACUCCAUAAUGGAGUUUUGAUAGUUCCAAUAUCUUCUUAUAGUGAUUUUAGACUUAAAUGUAUGUCCGUAUUUAGAUUUGGAGCUCCGUAGGUUGGUUUGAUGCUUUUUGGCGAAAGUAGGAAAGUUGAAGGUAUGGAAGGCUGAGAGGUUUGACCAGGAGUUGACUUUAAUGAUAUCGAGUUCGGAUUUUGGUUCCGAGAUUUAGAAUAAGUCUGUUGUGUCAUUUGGACUUGCAUGCAAAAUUUGAGGUCAUUCAGAGUUAAUUUGAUAUGGUUCGACAUGAGUUUUGAAAGUUGAAAUUUCAUUAGUUCAUCAGGCUUCAAUUGGAUGUGAUUCGUUGUUUUGAUGUUAUUUGUGUGUUUUGGGGCCUUGAGUAGGUUUGUGUUGUGUUUUGGCAUUGGUUGGUGUGAUUGGAUGGGGUCCCGGGGGCCUCGGGUGUGUUUCAGACCAUUUCCAUCAUGUUUGGACUGUUGAUUUGAUGUUUGGUGUGUUCUUCAUCGCGAUCGUCACAUAGUGGCCGCGUUCGCGGAGACUUUUUGGUUGGCAGGUGAAGUGAUCUUCGCAUUUGCGAGUUUGGAAAUGCAUUCACGAUGCUUUGGAAGGCAGUGACCAUCGUGAAUGCAUGAGAGAUGACACAUUCACGUAUAAGGGAGGCUGGCAGGGGCAUCAGGCCUUAAGCCUCCAGUUUCGCGGGAGAGUUCACGCGUUCGCGUAGGCAUGGGGUCGUUUGGUCAUCACAUUCGCGACAAGGAUGUCGGGAUCGUAAAAGAGGUUUAGUAGCUGCUGAAUUUUGUUCUUCGCGAUCGCAAAGGCAUUUCUGCGAUCUCGAAGAGUACCCCUAGGCAGACGUAUAUAUAUAAUACUCUAUUUGGAGGGCUUUUGUUGUUUUACCACAUUUUGAGUUAGAGAGCUCGAAUUUGGGUUAUUUUGGAGAUGAUUUUCAUGAUUUGGAUUAGGGUAAGUGUUUUUGACUCGGAUUUGUUAUUAUUUCAUAAUUCCAACCUCAAUUUUAGUGUUUGAUUAGUGAAUUGAAUUGCAGAAAUUGGAGAUUUUUGUAAAAACUUUUCUAAAAUAUAAAUUGAAGAUUUGAAGGUCGAUUUGAGAUCAGAAUUGGAUGAUUUUAGUAUUGUUGGACCCAUAUCGGAAUGGGUGUCCGAAAUUUGUAAGUUUGGUUGGGUUCUGAGGCGCGAGCUCGGGAUUGACGUUUUGGGUUGACUCUUUGAUUUUGGUUAAAGAUCUUAGCUUUAUCAAUUGGAUUUGUUUCCUAUGGCUUUAUUUGGUGAUAUUAAGUUUUUUUGACUAGAUUCGGAUCAUCUAGAGGUUGAUUCAUGAAAGAAGGGCUUCUUAGAGUACUGAUUUGGCUUGCUUGAGGUAAAUAUCUUACCUAAACUUAGUUGAGGCACUAGUUGCCUGAAUUAUUUAUGAUAGCUACAUGCUAUGGGUAGAGCACAUGUGCAGGGCUGAGCCUAUGUGCUUGCACCGGAGUAUUUAUCCAUGCUUGGGGUAGUGCUUAGGAUAUGAAAUGCCUUGAAUUGAUUGUUAAGCUUAUGUUGUGGUAUUUCUUAUAUUUGUACCUCGUUCUGAGCUAAUUGAGCCAUAUUUGUGGUUACGCAUAGAUUAAUCUCCUGAUUUAACUUGAUAAUUGCUAUUUUCGUGAUGGAAUUAAUGAUCUGAGCUAUGAUAGCACACUUUCCACAUGCAUACACCUUAGCAUGUCAUUUAUAUCAGUCCAGGAGUAUGAAACUUGAUAUUCAAUCAUCAUAUACAUUUAAUAUUGUAUAUCUGUUCUCUGUGUGAUAUGAUCUUGGCUGAUAGCCCAUGACCAUGACAAGCAGAUUGUGAUAUUGAGCAUGUGACCACGCCAGGCGGAUGAUGAUUAUUGGCAUGUUGGUUUCCUGUGUAGCACGUGAGUUGUCCGUACAGCGAGUGGAUAUGGAUCCAUCCCCCUAGGGUCACCCUCUCAUGUUUCUUUCUUGAUGGUGUACAACGUAUUUGAGGAAAACUGAUCAGUGACUUGGUACGGAUAUGGUAAU